AACGAACGCUGGCGGCGUGCCUAACACAUGCAAGUCGAGCGCGAAAGGAGCAAUCCGAGUAGAGCGGCGCACGGGUGCGUAACACGUGGAUAAUCUGCCUCAGGGUUGAGGAUAACCUUCCGAAAGGUUGGCUAAUACUCGGUAAGCUUACGGUGACUUCGGUCGCUGUGAGAAGACUAGACCUCUAUUUAUAAGUUUAGGCCCAGAGAUGAGUCCGCGGCCGCUCAGCUAGUUGGCGGGGUAACGGCCCACCAAGGCUACGACGGGUAGCUGGUCUGAGAGGACGAUCAGCCACACUGGAACUGAGACACGGUCCAGACUCCUACGGGAGGCAGCAGUGGGGAAUUUUCCACAAUGGGCGAAAGCCUGAUGGAGCAACGCCGCGUGUGUGAUGAAGGUCUUCGGAUCGUAAAGCACUUUCGACUGGGACGAAAAACCUUUGGCUAACAUCCAGGGGCCUGACGGCACCAGGAGAAGAAGCACCGGCUAACUCUGUGCCAGCCGCCGCUGUAACAC
rnacentral:rRNA from 1 species